rnacentral:tRNA from 1 species
GGAGCUGUGGCUCAGUGGCAGAGCAUCUGCCUUGUAUGCAGAAGGUCCUGGGUUCAAUCCCUGCCAUCUUUCG